CCAAAAAAUGAGGGAAAUAAACCCAAAAAUCUGGGAAAUAAACCCCAAAAAAUCUGGGAAAUAAACCCUAAAAAUCUGGGAAAUAAACCUAAAAUUUGGGGAAAUAAACCCAAAAAUCUGGGAAAUAAACCCCAAAAAAUCUGGGAAAUAAAUCCAAAAAAUCUGGGAAAUAAACCCCAAAAAAUCUGGGAAAUAAACCCAAAAAAUCUGGGAAAUAAACCCAAAAAAUCUGGGAAAUAAACCCAAAAAAAUCUGGGUGUCCCCAUAGAAGGUCCCAGGUGCCCCAGAGAAGGUCCCAGGUGCCCCAUAGAAGGUUCUAGGAGGUCCCAGGUGCCUCCAGGUGCCCCAUAGAAGGUCCCAGGUGCCCCAUAGAAGGUCCCAGGUGCCCCAUAGAAGGUUCUAGGAGGUCCCAGGUGCCUCCAGGUGCCCCAUAGAAGGUCCCAGGUGUCCCAUAGAAGGUUCUAGGAGGUCCCAGGUGUGACCACAGAGGGUUCCCAGAUGUUCAGGUGGUCACCAGGGUUGGGUUCCUGAGAGUCCAGGUGUCCCAUAGAAGGUUCUAGGAGGUCCCAGGUGCCUCCAGGUGCCCCAGAGAAGGUCCCAGGUGCCCCAUAGAAGGUUCUAGGAGGUCCCAGGUGCCCCAGAGAAGGUCCCAGGUGCCCCAUAGAAGGUUCUAGGAGGUCCCAGGUGCCUCCAGGUGCCCCAUAGAAGGUCCCAGGUGCCCCAUAGAAGGUUCUAGGUGGUCCCAGGUGCCUCCAGGUGCCCCAUAGAAGGUCCCAGGUGCCUCCAGGUGUCCCAUAGAAGGUCCCAGGUGCCCCAUAGAAGGUCCCAGGUGUCCCAUAGAAGGUUCUAGGAGGUCCCAGGUGUCUCCAGGUGUCACCAGGGUUGGGUUCCUGAGAGUCCAGGUGUCCCAUAGAAGGUCCCAGGUGCCCCAUAGAAGGUUCUAGGAGGUCCCAGGUGCCCUAUAGAAGGUUCUAGGAGGUCCCAGGUGCCUCCAGGUGCCCCAUAGAAGGUUCUAGGAGGUCCCAGGUGCCUCCAGGUGCCCCAUAGAAGGUCCCAGGUGUCCCAUAGAAGGUCCCAGGUGCCCCAUAGAAGGUUCUAGGAGGUCCCAGGUGCCCUCAGGUGCCCCAUAGAAGGUUCUAGGAGGUUCUGGGUGGUCCCAGGAGGUUCUGGGGGGUCCCAGGUGCCCCCAGGAGCCCCCAGGUGUGACGUGUGGCAGGUGAAGGAGUACGAGGAGGAGAUCCACUCGCUGAAGGAGCGGCUGCACCUGUCCAACCGCAAGCUGGAGGAGUACGAGCGGCGCCUGGUGACGCAGGAGGAGCAGACGAGCCGCAUCCUCCUGCAGUACCAGCAGCGCCUCGAGCUCAGCGAGCGCCGCCUGCGCCAGCAGCAGCAGGAGAAGGACUCGCAGAUCAAGAGCAUCAUC